rnacentral:lncRNA from 1 species
CCCAAUAUUAAAAGAAAAUUAGGGAUUUUCGCGACUAUAAGACUGAUUCGACUAACCAAGAGUUUGAUUCCGGCGGAUCUCACUAUUUCCGACCGGAUUCAACUAGAACCGACCCAGAGCUAGCAGCUACGGUGACACUUACCGAAAAAAAUCUCUAACCCGCCAUUCCUCUCUCGAUCUUCUCUCUCCCUCUCUCUCAGUUCCAAUCUCUCCCUCUCGCGCCUCCUUCUCCAACCUGUGCAUAUACCGGUGUGUGUGCAAGUAGAAGAGUGGAAUCUCCCAAAAAAUGGAAAAUUCAGCCCCUUCCUAUUCACUGGUUUGUGCGUGUAUUCGAAGAGAAGAGAAAGAAGGGAUGAAUAUGGUGAAUCCCGAAGAAAAACC